GGCGGGAUCUGUGUCUCUCGCUGGUGCUGGCACAGGAGCUUGGGAUCUGUCUCCUCUUUCGCCUCCUGCACCUUGAGAGCCCUGGGCUACUCUGUCACAGCCCCUGUUGCCCUGCGAUCUGUAGGUCCUUGGGGACGCAUAGUUAAGGUGCCAGGACAUCCUGGAAGCUGGGAAAUGACCAUGGCUGGAGAAGGAAAGAAGGUGUGUUUUGCCUGAUUCAGGGACUAUAGAGAGAACCAAGUUCUGCAGGCCUGUCAUCUAAGUCUCAGCUGGGUGUCACAAACUCUGAACUGGAUUCCAAGGCUUUCAUGAAUGCACUUAUGUUUGCUGUGGCAGCUGCAUUAUGUCGUGGGGGAUGUGGAUGCAGAACCUCCCAUUCUGUCGUCUUGCUUAUGUUACUCUCCUUUAUGUUUCACUUUCUCAAAUGAAUGUCAAGCAGGUGAUUUUCAGAUUCAAAAGUUCUAAAAUAAAUUGCUCAAAUUUACACA
rnacentral:lncRNA from 1 species